rnacentral:rRNA from 1 species
GAUGAACGCUGGCGGCGUGCUUAACACAUGCAAGUCGAACGGGAAAUACUUUAUUGAAACUUCGGUCGAUUUAAUUUAUUUCUAGUGGCGGACGGGUGAGUAACGCGUGGGUAACCUGCCUUAUACUGGGGGAUAACAGCCAGAAAUGACUGCUAAUACCGCAUAAGCGCACAGAACCGCAUGGUUCCGUGUGAAAAACUCCGGUGGUAUAAGAUGGACCCGCGUUGGAUUAGCUAGUUGGCAGGGCAGCGGCCUACCAAGGCGACGAUCCAUAGCCGGCCUGAGAGGGUGAACGGCCACAUUGGGACUGAGACACGGCCCAGACUCCUACGGGAGGCAGCAGUGGGGAAUAUUGCACAAUGGGGGAAACCCUGAUGCAGCGACGCCGCGUGAAGGAAGAAGUAUCUCGGUAUGUAAACUUCUAUCAGCAGGGAAGAUAAUGACGGUAC